GACGUAGGUGGCGAGCGUUGUCCGGAAUUACUGGGCGUAAAGGGCGUGUAGGUGGCCUGCUAAGUCAGACGUGAAACCCCAAGGCUUAACCUUGGGACUGCGUUUGAUACUGGUGGGCUUGAGGACAGGAGAGGAAAGUGGAACUCCGUGUGUAGCGGUGAAAUGCGUAGAUAUACGGAAGAACACCAGUGGCGAAGGCGGCUUUCUGGACUGUCCCUGACACUGAGGCGCGAAAGCCAGGGGAGCGAACGGG
rnacentral:rRNA from 1 species